GGUCGCGUGGCCCAAUGGGUAAGCAAUUUCCUUCUAUCAAUGACUUCAGUAACUAACAGUCUACAGCAAGGCGUCUGACUACGAAUCAGGAGAUCGUGGGUUCGAGCCCCACCGUGACCU